AAAUCUAAAAACAUAAUUAAAAUGUUAAAUGAUUUGAGAAUGACUGGUGUAAGGCCAGUGAUUAAUUUUAUAACAUAUUGGGACUACGUAAAUGAAGGGGAGGAAUCAUUCACGGCAGUAGAGUUCAUCUGUGUGGACGGAAGUUGCUUUUACAAGACGUUGUGGAACAACUGCGACCUGAUUCUGAAUCUGCAGACAGUUCGGGAGAAAGCAUGGCUGAUCGAAGGAUUCCGCGUAAAAGGGUACCACCCAAUCGCCUUGUUGAGGAAAAUGAGGAAAAUGAUGGAGCAUCAGCAACAGCACCAACUGAACAGGUGUCCCUUCAAAAAAUGAAGGAGGAAAAUGCUUUUUUAAAAGCUAAAAUUAAAUUCUUAGAGGACAAAUGCAAGGACAUCGAAAGUGAGAGAGAUUUCCUGUGUAGCAGUCUGACCAAUGCCUUGUCAGCAAAGGAAGACAUGAUGGGAGCUUCCUGCAAACCCAAAUAUGAUGAUCCUGUGUCACAGUCUUCCAGUACAGAAGAUGACCUUCAUACAGAACGGAAAAAGAAGACAAAUGAGUAGAGGAAAAGUUGAGAGAAAAAAAAACACCACAAAGUUGACUCAUCGUCCUCCUCUGAAUCAACCUCAUUCUCAUCUCAAUCCUCUUCAUCCCCUGCACCCCGAAAAUCCAGCAAAAAUAAGGAUAAAGCCAAGAAAAGGAAUGGGAAAAAAAGCAGAAAUGCACAAGAGUCUUUCUUCCAGAGCAAGCCAUUAAGAGACACAAGAAGGUCUUGGGCUAUUUGAAAAGUGGAACAACAAAAACACAGGCGUACUUCAAAUGUGGCGUGGAUAGAAAGACAAUUGUGGAUACUGCUGCAAUUGCAGAGCUCGAAGCAUGUGACAUCGAGGCCUACAAAAAUUUGUGUGGCACCUUCCAAAGAGGACAGAAACUGUCUGAUUUUGCACAGCGGUGAAGAGAAUUAUGCAGACAAGAGCCAUUGCAAAGCACCAUUGAAGAAAAAAAGAAAGCUGGCAUGCUUAUUGACUUUUGUGAGAGACAAAAAUAACCAACCUAUGUUUAUGCAUGUGUAUGUGUGUUUCUUUGUAUGAUAAAUACCAUUCCAUGCAUGUUCUAGCUCAAUGACUACACACACAGCCA